GACGACGCUGGCGGCGUGCCUAAUACAUGCAAGUAGGACGAGUUGCGAACGGGUGAGUAACGCGUGGUAACCUGCCUAUUAGAGGGGGAUAACUAUUGGAAACGAUAGCUAAUACCGCAUACCAUCGGAUGUGCCCAGAUGGGAUUAGCUAGUAGGUGGGGUAAAGGCACACCUAGGCUACGAUCCCUAGCUGGUCUGAGAGGAUGAUCAGUCACACUGGAAGUGAGAACCGGUCCCGACUCCUACGGUAGGCAGCAGUGGGGAAUAUUGCACAAUGGGCGCAAGUCUGAUGCAGCCAUGCCGCGUGUAUGAAGAAGGCCUUCGGGUUGUAAAGUACUUUCAGCGGGGCGGCGUUACCCGCAGAAGAAGCACCGGCUAACUCCGUGCCAGCCGCCGCGGUAAUAC
rnacentral:rRNA from 1 species